GGACCCGCACAAGCAGCGGAGCAUGUGGUUUAAUUCGAAGCAACGCGAAGAACCUUACCAAGGCUUGACAUCCCUUGACCGCCAUGGAAACAUGGCUUCCCUUCGGGGCAAGGAGACAGGUGGUGCAUGGUUGUCGUCAGCUCGUGUCGUGAGAUGUUGGGUUAAGUCCCGCAACGAGCGCAACCCUUGUCAUUAGUUGCCAGCGCGUAAAGGCGGGAACUCUAAUGAGACUGCCGGGGAUAACUCGGAGGAAGGUGGGGACGACGUCAAAUCAUCAUGCCCCUUAUGUCUUGGGCUACACACGUGCUACAAUGGCCGGUACAAAGGGCUGCGAAAUCGUAAGGUGGAGCGAAUCCCAAAAAGCCGGUCUCAGUUCGGAUCGUGGGCUGCAACCCGCCCACGUGAAGCCGGAGUUGCUAGUAAUCGCGAAUCAGCAUGUCGCGGUGAAUGCGUUCCCGGGUCUU
rnacentral:rRNA from 1 species